rnacentral:rRNA from 1 species
GACGAACGCUGGCGGCGUGCUUAACACAUGCAAGUCGAACGGAAAGGCCCUGCUUUUGUGGGUUGCUCGAUUGCCGAACGGGUGAGUAACACGUGAGUAACCUGCCCUUGACUUUGGGAUAACUUCAGGAAACUGGGGCUAUUACCGGAUAGAAGCUCCUGCUCCAUGUUGGGGGUUGGAAAGUUUCGGCGGUUGGGGAUGGACUCGCGGCUUAUCAGCUUGUUGGUGGGGUAGUGGCUUACCAAGGCUUUGACGGGUAGCCGGCCUGAGAGGGUGACCGGCCACAUUGGGACUGAGAUACGGCCCAGACUCCUACGGGAGGCAGCAGUGGGGAAUAUUGCACAAUGGGCGGAAGCCUGAUGCAGCAACGCCGCGUGCGGGAUGACGGCCUUCGGGUUGUAAACCGCUUUCGCCUGUGACGAAGCGUGAGUGACGGUAAUGGGUAAAGAAGCACCGGCUAACUACGUG